UUCUGUGGUCUGCCAGCAUUUUCAUUAUAAUGCAUAGCAGCAAGAAUUAUUCUGGAAUAGAACAAAAAAUGCCUUAUCUUAUUUUAAAAAAAAAUAUUCAAAUUUU